AGAGGUGAGUGGAAUUCCGAGUGUAGAGGUGAAAUUCGUAGAUAUUCGGAAGAACACCAGUGGCGAAGGCGGCUCACUGGCUCGAUACUGACGCUGAGGUGCGAAAGUGUGGGUAGCAAACAGGAUUAGAUACCCUGGUAGUCCACACCGUAAACGAUGAAUAGCCAGUCGUCAAGGGGCUUGCCCCUUGGUGACACACCUAACGGAGUAAGCAUUCCGCCUGGGGAGUACGGCCGCAAGGUUAAAACUCAAAGGAAUUGACGGGGGCCCGCACAAGCGGUGGAGCAUGUGGUUUAAUUCGAUGCAACGCGAACAACCUUACCGAGGUUCGACAUCCUGUGUCUACUUGUGAGAGCA
rnacentral:rRNA from 1 species